rnacentral:rRNA from 1 species
UACGAAGGGGGCUAGCGUUGCUCGGACUCCCUGGGCGUAAAGCGCACGUAGGCGGCUUCUUAAGUCAGGGGUGAAAUCCUGGAGCUCAACUCCAGAACUGCCUUUGAUACUGAAGAUCUUGAGUUCGGGAGAGGUGAGUGGAACUGCGAGUGUAGAGGUGAAAUUCGUAGAUAUUCGCAAGAACACCAGUGGCGAAGGCGGCUCACUGGCCCGGUACUGACGCUGAGAUACGAAAGCGUGGGGAGCAAACAGG